AUGCUUAUGAGAGCAAACCUUGUAGUCGAGAGGCAUGCCAGCAAGAUUUGUACAAGAGCAACGUUCGAACAGUUUGGGCACAUACUGAACGAGUGCGGGGCUUAUCAAGUUGAAGAGGUUGACAAACAUAGGACGUACAUUGCAAUCCAUAGUGAAGCAGAGAAGAGGGAGAAGUGGUGCAGGGCAUCUUACAAGGUUACAAUGCUUGACGAGGGGAAUGAAUUCGAGUUCGAGUGUGGCCAGUUUGCACACGUGGGCCUGUUGUGCAGGCAUGUGUUGAAGGUUCUAGACUUCAUUAGAGCUAAAGAAAUACCAGUGAAACAUAUAGUGAAGAGGUGGAUGAAGGAUGCUCGAGAUAUAUUGCCAGCUCACCUGACACAGUACCAGAAAGACAGUAUAUAG
rnacentral:rRNA from 1 species